rnacentral:rRNA from 1 species
AUGCCCCCAUCUACCUCCCCGUCGGCAAGAAGCUGUUCUCUCUUAGCACGGCGUCCUUUGAGAUGCUCUGCCUGGGGCAUAUCAUCUACCCAAGCUUCGUAUUGCAGCAUGGAUCGCAGCCUCCAGUGGUCGUGGGAACAGCUCCCCAGGCAGCCAUUCAAGGUUGAUGACGUCGCCUCCUACACCUCGCACGCUGUCAAGCUCACCUUCCUCGUCAGCACCAAGGCGGAUGCCGCCGCGGCCACCUUCUCCUUCGACACGAAGGCGCUAUCGUGGAAACUGCUUGGCAAUUGGGCGCUGCCCUUUGCCGGCCGCGGCCACUUCGUCCCACACCUCAAGGCCUUUGUUGGGCUCACCAAAGACCCGGACACCCUCGGCCAAAUCUGCUCCUGCGACGUGCCGAGCUUUGAUGCCGGUGAUGGGCAGUGCCCUGCCCCUGUGGCGAGGGUCUGCGAUGAGAAGCUGUUCAGCGACAAGCCGGCUGAGAGGCAUGUAAGUGCUACCCUCGUCGACAUGCGAUGUGAGGGUGAAUUCUGCCUCGUAGAGUGCGUCUCCGUUGCUGAUCAGGCCCUCAUUGAGGAGGGAGAUGUGCGCCUACCUGGUCGCUGUUUCUAUCGUGUCGCCACAUUCUUCCUCACGCAUGGAAUGAAUGGAGACCUGAUCAAGGUUUUGGUUACCGAAUGA